CGCGUAGGCGGUUAAAUCAGUCAGAUGUGAAAUCCCCGAGCUUAACUUGGGAAUUGCAUUUGAUACUGGUUGGCUAGAGUGUGGGAGAGGAUGGUAGAAUUCCAGGUGUAGCGGUGAAAUGCGUAGAGAUCUGGAGGAAUACCGAUGGCGAAGGCAGCCAUCUGGCCUAACACUGACGCUGAGGUGCGAAAGCAUGGGGAGCAAACAGGAUUAGAUACCCGUGUA
rnacentral:rRNA from 1 species